GAAGAAGAAGAAGGUGCAACGUGCUAAUGGCGCAGAGCAGAGACUCCGGGACUGCGUGUGUCGUUCGUGUGGAGUUUUCAUUGGUAACGGACUGUGAGCUGUAGUUGAACGACGUGUUUAAAGUGUGGGGGUCGGACUCGCCACCACCGCUUGUGUUUUGUAAACGAGAGGACCGAUCGGCUACGUUAGCUAGCGGGAGCUAGGCUAACGCCACGGUCCUCGUUGAAGGGAGACACCACGUGCACGGACGGAGGACGCUUCGCUGCUGUCGAGGGAGACGGAGGUCUGUCACUGCGGGCUGCUGCGGGUGGAGACGGAGGCUACCGCGACGAGCGAGUGAUUCAUCAGCGGCCUGGUUUUGCGGACUUCACCGACACACGGAGUUUUCCUCUAGAUGAUCCUGAGAGGCUCGACCUGUGGAUGCUCAAUAUGAAGAGACAGAACUGGAUUCCGCAGAAGAAUUCUCGUCUCUGCAGUGAACAUUUUCAGAGAGAUCAUCUGAGCAUUGACACAAGGGGAAGGGCAUGCGUGAACGACACUGCUGUGCCUACCAUUUUCUUACACUCCAAGGGCAAAGAGGACAACCCAGAGGGAGAGGUAUGUGAAAUGGUAGGUAUGAAUGAGGAGGUAAGUGACAUUCCUAUUUCUGUUGGAAAUAGCACUAAGGAGG